AUGAGGUGGUUUUGCAGUGCUGACCUUGGGAACAAAGAGGAAAUGUGUUCCAGCAUUUUCUCCCAGAAAAACAAACAAACAAACAAACAAACAAACAAACAAACAAAAUACAAACCCACCAACCAACCAAAAAAAAAUCUCUAAGAUUUCUUCCUUUUUCUUCUCCUUAUGCCUGGAGACUUCUUGACAAAGUUGAGAUUGCUGGAAGCAUGCCCAACUCAGACCUAAUCUAUCACCUACAAGUAGAAGAGGAACACAAGAUGAAAUGUCCCCAGUUAUUCUGCAGGCAAUUUCUCCUCAUAUUUCCUGGAAGACAUCAGACAUCUACCUACGUAAAUGGAACAUUUUGCACAUUGUAGAUCCCUCCCAGGAGGAUCAGACUUCCUGGUGCUUCCUGGAUGGAUGUCUAUGUACACACCACUGAGAUCCACCUGGAGUUUCCAGGGCUGACUACUCCUGCAUCUUCCUUCUAACCCAGUGAAGGGCUUGAGAAGGGGUAAAGACAUGAAGGACUGCAGCACCCCUCCUUCCCAUUGCUACGUCUACUGUUUUUCAGCUAGCAGGGCUGACGGCUAUGCACGGAGCUGUGGUUCCCAGGGGGAGUGCCAAAUUACCCUUCAGGGACUACAUUUCCCUUUUCAGCCUAGCAGAGACAGUUUUGGCACCUCUCUCUCUCUUCUGGGUGCAAUUUCAUGAUACAGCCACAGUGCAAGCAACAAACCAUCAGACCACACCACUUGUGCAAAGUGCACUGGACAUGGUUUCGGCGGACAAACCGAACGAUGACACAGCCUUGCUGAAACGAGUCAAAGGCUCCUGCGUGCUACAGUCGGUCCGAAGUCGGAUGGGUGAUAAAGAGGCUCGGGAAGGACCACAACUUCGAUUCUUCAUUUCGGGAAGGGCGGCAGGCAGGCGGGCAGAGGGCAGGCAGGGCAGGGCCGGGGCGGGCGGGGGCGCAGCUGCCCCAGCCCCCGG
rnacentral:lncRNA from 1 species